rnacentral:rRNA from 1 species
GGCCCAGAUCGUUUACCGUGAAAAAAUUAGAGUGUUCAAAGCAGGCAGAUCCAAUUUUCUGCCACCGAAUACAUUAGCAUGGGAUAAUGGAAUAGGACCCUGUCCUCCUAUUUUCAGUUGGUUUGCCGCGAGGACCAGGGUAAUGAUUAAUAGGGGUAGUUGGGGGCAUUAAUAUUUAAUUGUCAGAGGUGAAAUUCUUGGAUUUAUGAAAGAUUAACUUCUGCGAAAGCAUCUGCCAAGGAUGUUUUCAUUAAUCAAGAACGAAAGUUAGGGGAUCGAAGACGAUCAGAUACCGUCGUAGUCUUAACCAUAAACGAUGCCGACCAGCGAUUAGGAGACGUUGAAUACAAAACACCACCAUGCGCAUUGCGGUCGUCUUUGGUGUGUCGCUCACAAGGCGGCAUCAUCGGGACGGCUUAGCUCGCAUGGCACCGGUGAAUGACUCCCCUAGCAGCUUGUGAGA